UUGCGGCGUAUUAACUUGUUGGUGGGGUAACGGCCUACCAAGGUGAUGAUACGUAGCCGAACUGAGAGGUUGAUCGGCCACAUUGGGACUGAGACACGGCCCAAACUCCUACGGGAGGCAGCAGUAGGGAAUCUUCCACAAUGGACGAAAGUCUGAUGGAGCAACGCCGCGUGAAUGAAGAAGGCCUUCGGGUCGUAAAAUUCUGUUGUCAGAGAAGAACGUGCGUGAGAGUAACUGUUCACGUAUUGACGGUAUCUGACCAGAAAGCCACGGCUAACUACGUGCCAGCAGCCGCGGUAAUACGUAGGUGGCGAGCGUUGUCCGGAUUUAUUGGGCGUAAAGGGAACGCAGGCGGUCUUUUAAGUCUGAUGUGAAAGCCUUCGGCUUAACCGAAGUAGUGCAUUGGAAACUGGAAGACUUGAGUGCAGAAGAGGAGAGUGGAACUCCAUGUGUAGCGGUGAAAUGCGUAGAUAUAUGGAAGAACACCAGUGGCGAAAGCGGCUCUCUGGUCUGUAACUGACGCUGAGGUUCGAAAGCGUGGGUAGCAAACAGGAUUAGAUACCCUGGUAGUCCACGCCGUAAACGAUGAGUGCUAAGUGUUGGAGGGUUUCCGCCCUUCAGUGCUGCAGCUAACGCAUUAAGCGCUCCGCCUGGGGAGUACG
rnacentral:rRNA from 1 species